rnacentral:rRNA from 1 species
GACGAACGCUGGCGGCGUGCUUAACACAUGCAAGUCGAACGCUGAAGCUCAGCUUGCUGGGUGGAUGAGUGGCGAACGGGUGAGUAACACGUGAGUAACCUGCCCUCUUCUUUGGGAUAACGCCCGGAAACGGGUGCUAAUACUGGAUAUUCACUGAUUCUCGCAUGGGGGUUGGUGGAAAGGUUUUUUCUGGUGGGGGAUGGGCUCGCGGCCUAUCAGCUUGUUGGUGGGGUGAUGGCCUACCAAGGCUUUGACGGGUAGCCGGCCUGAGAGGGUGACCGGUCACAUUGGGACUGAGAUACGGCCCAGACUCCUACGGGAGGCAGCAGUGGGGAAUAUUGCACAAUGGGCGAAAGCCUGAUGCAGCGACGCCGCGUGAGGGAUGGAGGCCUUCGGGUUGUAAACCUCUUUCGCUCAUGGUCAAGCCGCAGCUUUGGGUUGUGGGGAGGGGAGUGGGGAAAGAAGCGCCGGCUAACUACGU